rnacentral:piRNA from 1 species
UUGAUGGCCUUACCUUCUGCCAGUU